AUACAUGCUUGGGAGAAGUAACAGGAGAUAAAUGACAGUCAAAAUAAAAGCGUACGGUUGUUUAUUUUGUCUAUUAGAAGUUUAGUGUUUCUAUUUGCCCUUAAGCUUGAAGCCAUGUUAAUAAAUCUCACGUGGGCUCAAUCUGACCUCUUUGCAGGCAUAAUUUAGCGUUUUCAACAUUCCCUCGAGGCGGAUAUAUAUUAAAACUCGCCAGAUUUAUUUCACAGUGAGUCAUGAAUGCAGCAUAUUUAGCUUCACCGCUCGAUAUAAACAAAAUAUAACUGAUCACUUUAACUUCAGCAGGAGAUUGCUAUUAAUUGGCAAGUACGCACUUUCUUGAGAAGAUGGGCUGAUGGAUUUUCUAUACCCGGACAAAGAAGCUGGGGCAAUCGCCUUAGAGGAGAGAGGAUGGAGGUGUUCAAAAUCAGAAGUACUCUGCAGAGAGCACAUAGGCAGAAACUGUAACCAAUGGCGAAAGAGCCGAGAGUUAAAGAAUCCUAGUGAAUGGACAAAAAGACCAAAAACUGCAAGAGAGGGUUCCGUAACACAACUGAAUCCAACCAUGUGUCUGUUAAAACUACAAUUUCCUGCCACAUAUUUUGUGAGUAUUCCUUUGCCUAUACACACAAUUGAAUCUCUUCUUUAUUUUUCAUGUUGUCAAUGUCUGGCAUGUUAUAUCAUGGAGCUGGAGACCGGGAAUCCCCGGUUCUGGGGAAGAGUCAGACUGGGCUCUGUUUCUCUCUCUCCACAGACGCGCCCUGACCUGCUGAGUUUCUUCUCCACUUUCUGUGUUUGUUUCAGAUUUCCAGCAUCUGCAGUAUUUUACUUUUAUACCAGUGUCGCUUGCUGAGCUGAAAUAUGGCCUCAUUGUUAAUGAUAGAGUCCCCUUCUUCAAAUAUCCACUGCAGCCUCAUCAAACUGUCGAGUGAGAUGAUGAGAUUAAUAAUGAGAUCCAGACAUUGGGGGAGUCGUCUUUAAACGCCUUGAAUGACUGUAGCUUGGAGAAGGCAGUUUGGUGAACAGCACUCAUGAUUUAGUUGGUAGAUGGGAUGUGUGUAAAGAGGGAGACGGGGGGAGCACAGAGUUUUUGUGAGUGUGGCCUGUCAGUGCUCUGCGUGUCCCUGUAGUCAUUGUACAAGCCCAGGCAUUCAAUUCAUCAGACUUAUUUUGAGAAUAGUUACACCUUUGGUCAUUCUUAUUCCUAGAAAUCAUGCACCCAACCUGAACAUUAAGCCACAGCUAACUGUUGCCUUGUAGAUACUACUAUUUAUGAGGGACACAGACAACUUCCGUCAGGAUUAUCUAUUUGAUGGGAUGGGUGAUUCGGACCAUCUUGUUGUGUGAGCUCUAGUCCACGCAGUGACAGGGUCAAGUCAAUGAAAAUACCGAAUGCCACUUCCUUGUUAACUACAGCACCGCACAAGUCUGGAACCUCUCGGCUGGCAUUUGAGUGAAGAUGAAGUCUUAACAUUAUCUGAAUAUGGGAUAUCCUACCAGAAACAGUGGCGAAAGUGGAAUCCAUAAAAGGAAAUGGAGAAGCAUUUGAAAACGAUACACAGGUGAAAGUGACUCGAUCUUUUCGCACUAAGGACAGUCUAAUAACCGUCUUCCGCUGUAUCGUAGCAUUCUAGGUGCUGUGAACACUUAACCUGGUCUGAAUCAUCAAAGAAGAAUUGGCAUACAGCCCUGUUUAAGAUUUUUCUGUGACCGAAAGAAAUCACGAGCGACUUUCUGGGCCUGUGAGCUCAGUUAGGAAAACAGCGAGCUGGAUGUCAAGCGAACGGUCCCUCAGGGCGAACCAGCUGGAACCGCAUCCUUUCCCCUACCAAAAGAAGCUCGAGUCCUGCCACCGUUACUCUCUCCGCUACUCCAAGCGAUGCAAUUGUUAAUGCCCAUGGACACCCUAUCACAGAACGUUCACUGUAGUUCAGUUCCCCGAGCCGAGAAUCUCUGUUUGAAAUCGACCAGAGUUUAGUGGUUAAUUUUUGAAAUGCCCGAAUGAUGCCCGUUACACUGUGUUACACUGUCCAGUCACUCUCAACCAAAGCUUUCAAUGAACACUGUAAUACGUACUUUCAAUCGCUGACUUCAUUUACAAAAAUUAAGGAUCAGUAAUGCAAAACAUGUUGAGCGCCAUUUCUCUUCCAUCCAUAAUAUUUUUGUUGCCCUGUUUCAAAAGACUCCAAACAACUGCACCAAAGAUUUUUUUUAAACUGAUCUGCUUCUUCCCCCUUUUCAUGGAGACUGUUGUAAAACCAUAAAUUAAUCUUUUUUUCGACGAGUACAUUUUUGAAGUGUGAUAAAAUUGAAACACGAGUGAAAGUUAAGGACUUUACAUUUCAGAUACAUGCUAUAAUUGUACUUCAGCAAAAUCAAAUAAACUAUUUUCAUAAAUGCCAAUUCUAGCGUUACAAUUGGUGCCACCUGAUUAUAAACAAGGUUGUAAAUAUAUGUUGAACUGCUUUAGCAUUCUAAUGUAGAAACUUAUUCGACGAACAGACAUCAAUAGAUAUAUAAAUUGUCCAGAAAUGCUGCAAACCAUAAGACCCAACGCAUUUUGGCGAUCGACGUUACAAUAUUUCUCUAGAGAUUUUAUCCUUGAGCACUGAUUGUAAUAAUUCAGUCCAGUAUUGCAAUACUUCAAGUUACUUCAAAGAAAUAACCCAAUAUUCAGGGCUGUUAGUCUGAACUAAAUUAUAAACAUGUACUUUGCAAGUAGGAUGUUGAUUGGACACAUUUGGUAUCAGGCUUAAUACACGUCCACACUCUCGCUAAUCAAAUACUAGACUCCAGAAGUAAUGGCAAACCAAACCAAAACAUUUCAGCCACAGAGAAACUUCUUUGGAUGAAAACACGUUGAUCCUAAUGAAUAACUUUAUUGGAUAUAUAUAUAUACAAUGAGCUUCGAUGUUUGUAUGAUCCAGAUGGCGAACUAUUAAUAAGAAAUUUCUCUGGAGCGUUUAAUUGUGACAAAAGAAACGAUGAGGUUAUAAGACUGUGGCAGCUGGAAGUCUGGCGGCAGUAAAACUGGCCAGUAUUUGAUGUUUUGUUAAGGUUUCCAAUCACACAGACAGACAACCGUCUCUAGGGAAUGCUCUUUUCAGCACUACAGACGGAGGAUAACUGCAUUUUAAAAUAUCAGCAUUGAAAUACUGCGGGUUUUAGAAAUCUGAAAUUUAAAAUAGAAAAUGCUGGGAAUAGCUAGCAGGUCAAGCGGCAGCUGUGGAGCGAAAGAACAAGCUUGUUGUUUCAGAGAUACAUGCUGCCUAAUCAUUGCCGUCAUUUUCUUUCCUUAUUGAAAGGAGGCGUCAAUUAAAUAGGCUUUCACUUGUACAUGGAUAGAAACUGUUCCUGUCGAAAUCUACAGAGUGGUAGUAAUGCAAACGUUUAGAAAGACCGCCUCCUUAUUGUCGACUAUAAACGAUUUACUUGAAGUCAGCAGUUUCGAUGGAGUGUUAUUACAUAAAUCUCUACAUUAGCUUGAGGAAUGAAAUUACAGUUACUUUAAAAUAAUCAGAAUGCCCUUUCAAUCACAUCAGAUCCAGUCCAUUGCUGCACGUUUAGCAAGGGCAGUACACGGGGCACGGUUCCAAAAAGGAACGAUAAAAUUUAGUUUCACGUGACUCGAAAUAGUAUUUUUUUUUGAAAACCAGGCCAGUAACUCAUAGAAAAGCCAGAUGGUCAUGAAUUGCUAAGGAGACAGGUUUCCUUGUUAUUUUCACGUUAAUAUUUCACGAUCUAUGAACCGGUUACUGAAGUGAAGACGCCAGAUUAUACAAAUACUUCAACAAAACGUUGCUAAGGCCCGGACAUUUUCAAGAUUCAUCUCCAGCAUGAGACCCAUACGCUCUCAAUAGUGCUGCACUGAGUAUCUCAACCGACCUAAAACUUUUACAAAGUUUUUUUAAAUAUCUAAAGCGCACCUAUCGAUUAAUUAAUAAAGCCUUGUCUCCAGUUAGUGUUUGAGUGUGUCUUUUUCCAUAGUUUUUAUGACAGUAUUGGAUUUCUAUUACCCAUCCCGCAAGCACACAUCAUUGACACGUUUCUUAACUCGAACAAACUCCCGGGAUAUCUGUUGAUAAAAUUAAUGAGAAAUGGAAUCCACUUGGAUAAAAAAAAACUGAAAAUGGUGAAUUGUCAUACAUAUAAUAUAUUGAAGUUUGAAACAAAGUUGAAGUUAGUAAUGUCAGUUUUGGAUCUUACAAAUCUGAAUAAAACAGCUCAGAUCACAACGCUAGCUAGCUAAACCAGCUUCUUCUGUUUUGUGGGGCUGGUUAGUAAGAAUACUGGUUUACUGUCCUCAGUCUUCAUCAACACUGAAUUCAAAACCACAUUUACAAACGGACCGAAGGUGGUAAUAUCUAGGAAUCUAAAUAACUUAGCUGGAAAGUCUGAUGGUCGUCUUUAUUUAUACAAAUAUAUUAUCAUUGAUGGACAGCGCCUCGGUCCGUUUGCUAUUGAGUCCGCAGCUCUCGCUCCCUCUCGGGUGUAUCCAGUGCCCAGAAUGAGUGUUGCUCCAAUUUCCCUCUGUUGGUCUCCUUCGCUCGUUUACACUUUACACAUCCAUGUGAAACCUCAGACUUUACAGACGGACGAUCAAAUUACGAAAUAUACAUCUAAUUGGAAAUCCGGAGUUAACUGACAUAUAUUUUCCGCUAUAUGUGCGUCGUCUUUAUAAACACAAAUAUUUAAUUUCAAGAAAUAGGAUCUCGGGCUUAAUGUGAUUUGCCAUGCGCCGUGUCUGACCUCGCCUUCCCCUCAACCACCCCCCCCCCCCCCCCCUUUCUCUGUUUUCUUGAAACUAUGCAGUGUUCAAGUAUUUAUCACAAUGGUCUGUUGUAAUCUGCAGUCAGGCGGUAG